AUUGAACGCUGGCGGCAUGCCUUACACAUGCAAGUCGAACGGUAACAGGUCUUCGGAUGCUGACGAGUGGCGAACGGGUGAGUAAUACAUCGGAACGUGCCCGAUCGUGGGGGAUAACGGAGCGAAAGCUUUGCUAAUACCGCAUACGAUCUACGGAUGAAAGCAGGGGACCGCAAGGCCUUGCGCGGACGGAGCGGCCGAUGGCAGAUUAGGUAGUUGGUGGGAUAAAAGCUUACCAAGCCGACGAUCUGUAGCUGGUCUGAGAGGACGACCAGCCACACUGGGACUGAGACACGGCCCAGACUCCUACGGGAGGCAGCAGCGGGGAAUUUUGGACAAUGGGCGCAGCCUGAUCCAGCCAUGCCGCGUGCAGGAUGAAGGCCUUCGGGUUGUAAACUGCUUUUGUACGGAACGAAAAGACUCUUUCUAAUAAAGAGGGUCCAUGACGGUACCGUAAGAAUAAGCACCGGCUAACUACGUGCCAGCCGCCGCCGUAACAC
rnacentral:rRNA from 1 species